rnacentral:lncRNA from 1 species
UGGGUUUUGAUUGAAAUCCAAUCUCUGCAACUUUGCAAUACACCAACCACUCAAUUUGAUAACGAACUUCGUACGAACCUGAAUUGUCCAAUUUCAUGGACCAAUCGAUAUCGGAUUGAGUCCAAAACUUGGGGAACAUCAUAAUACGGUGGGAGGAGUCAUUUGGUCGAUUUUGAGUGAAAUCCAAUCUCUACAACUAUGCAACCACCAACCACUCC